rnacentral:rRNA from 1 species
AAACUUUCAACAACGGAUCUCUUGGUUCUGGCAUCGAUGAAGAACGCAGCGAAAUGCGAUAAGUAAUGUGAAUUGCAGAAUUCAGUGAAUCAUCGAAUCUUUGAACGCACAUUGCGCCCUCUGGUACUCCGGGGGGCAUGCCUGUUCGAGCGUCAUUA